CCUACGGGCGGCAGCAGUGAGGAAUAUUGGUCAAUGGACGAGAGUCUGAACCAGCCAAGUAGCGUGAAGGAUGACUGCCCUAUGGGUUGUAAACUUCUUUUAUAUGGGAAUAAAAUGUUCCACGUGUGGGAUUUUGUAUGUACCAUAUGAAUAAGGAUCGGCUAACUCCGUGCCAGCAGCCGCGGUAAUACGGAGGAUCCGAGCGUUAUCCGGAUUUAUUGGGUUUAAAGGGAGCGUAGGUGGAUUGUUAAGUCAGUUGUGAAAGUUUGCGGCCCAACCGUAAAAUUGCAGUUGAAACUGGCAGUCUUGAGUACAGUAGAGGUGGGCGGAAUUCGUGGUGUAGCGGUGAAAUGCUUAGAUAUCACGAAGAACUCCGAUUGCGAAGGCAGUUCACUGGACUGCAACUGACACUGAGGCUCGAAAGUGUGGGUAUCAAACAGGAUUAGAUACCCUUGUAGUC
rnacentral:rRNA from 1 species